AUUGAACGCUGGCGGCAUGCCUUACACAUGCAAGUCGAAUGGUAACAGGUCUUCGGAUGCUGACGAGUGGCGAACGGGUGAGUAAUACAUCGGAACGUGCCCGAUCGUGGGGGAUAACGAAGCGAAAGCUUUGCUAAUACCGCAUAAGAUCUACGGAUGAAAGCAGGGGACCGCAAGGCCUUGCGCGAACGGAGCGGCCGAUGGCAGAUUAGGUAGUUGGUGGGAUAAAAGCUUACCAAGCCGACGAUCUGUAGCUGGUCUGAGAGGACGACCAGCCACACUGGGACUGAGAGACGGCCCAGACUCCUACGGGAGGCAGCAGUGGGGAAUUUUGGACAAUGGGCGAAAGCCUGAUCCAGCCAUGCCGCGUGCAGGAUGAAGGCCUUCGGGUUGUAAACUGCUUUUGUACGGAACGAAAAGACUCUGGUUAAUACCUGGGGUCCAUGACGGUACCGUAAGAAUAAGCACCGGCUAACUACGUGCCAGCCGCCGCGGUAAGAC
rnacentral:rRNA from 1 species